AGGAGAACUACGAGAACGUCAUUUCCUUGGCCGAGGAGAUCGCCAUCAGCUGGCCGCGGAUCACCGCCUUCGCCGAAUCGCACCGGAGACGCGGCCUGGGCGCCGCGGCCGAAGCGGAGGGGGAC